AUUGAACGCUGGCGGCAUGCCUUACACAUGCAAGUCGAACGGUAACGCGGGGCAACCUGGCGACGAGUGGCGAACGGGUGAGUAAUGUAUCGGAACGUGCCCAGUUGUGGGGGAUAACUGCUCGAAAGAGCAGCUAAUACCGCAUACGACCUGAGGGUGAAAGCGGGGGAUCGCAAGACCUCGCGCAAUUGGAGCGGCCGAUAUCAGAUUAGGUAGUUGGUGGGGUAAAGGCGCACCAAGCCAACGAUAUGUAGCUGGUCUGAGAGGACGGCCAGCCACACUGGGACUGAGACCCGGCACAGACUCCUACGGGAGGCAGCAGUGGGGAAUUUUGGACAAUGGACGCAAGUCUGAUCCAGCCAUGCCGCGUGCGGGAAGAAGGCCUUCGAGUUGUAAACUGCUUUUGUACGGAACGAAACGCGCCGGGUUAAUACCCUGGCGUAAUGACGGUACCGUAAGAAUAAGCACCGGCUAACUACGUGCCAGCAGCCGCCGUAACAC
rnacentral:rRNA from 1 species